rnacentral:rRNA from 1 species
CGGUCGCAAGACUAAAACUCAAAUGAAAUUGACGGGGGCCCGCACAAGCGGUGGAGCAUGUGGUUUUAAUUCGAUGCAACGCGAAAGAACCUUACCUGGCCUUUGACAUAUUAAGAACUUUCCAGAGAUGGAUUGGUGCCUUCGGGAACUUAGAUACAGGUGCUGCAUGGCUGUCGUCAGCUCGUGUCGUGAGAUGUUGGGUUAAGUCCCGCAACGAGCGCAACCCUUUUCCUUAUUUGCCAGCGGGUAAUGCCGGGAACUUUAAGGAUACUGCCAGUGACAAACUGGAGGAAGGCGGGGACGACGUCAAGUCAUCAUGGCCCUUACGGCCAGGGCUACACACGUGCUACAAUGGUCGGUACAAAGGGUUGCUACCUCGCGAGAGGAUGCUAAUCUCAAAAAGCCGAUCGUAGUCCGGAUCGCAGUCUGCAACUCGACUGCGUGAAGUCGGAAUCGCUAGUAAUCGCGGAUCAGAA